rnacentral:rRNA from 1 species
CCCUUAGAUGUUCUGGGCCGCACGCGCGCUACACUGACGAAUGCAACGAGCUUAUAACCUUGGCCGAAAGGUCUGGGUAAUCUCCAAAUUUCGUCGUGAUGGGGAUAGAUUAUGGCAAUUAUUAAUCUUCAACGAGGAAUGCCUAGUAAGCGCAAGUCAUCAGCUUGCGUUGAUUACGUCCCUGCCCUUUGUACACACCGCCCGUCGCUCCUACCGAUUGAAUGGUCCGGUGAAGCGUUCGGACCGUGGCCUUUGGACGGUUCGCCGUCUGUUGGCUGCGGGAAGUUCGUUAAACCUUAUCAUUUAGAGGAAGGAGAAGUCGUAACA